AUAAAAGCCAAAUUCCUACGUAUGAAUAUAACACUUUCCAGGUCUUUACUCCAUCUUUAGCUUGAAUCCCAGUGUUGCUUAUCCCUCUCUAAAUUCUCUAGGAAUUAAGAAAUGCUAUUUCAUUACUUGUAUGCUUCUGCUUAUAUUAUUUCUUUUUGCAAAAUUCCUUUCUCACUCUUGAUACCAAUGCUUCACUCAUUCUUUAGAACUUAGCUCCUGGUAUUUCCAGAAUGCUUUCUCUAAUUCUUCUUAGGCUGAAUUAAGACGUAUUCCUCCAAAUUCCUAAAGCACUAUGUGGGUAACUCUCUUAUUACAUAGAUUUUAGGAUACUCAAGGGGAAGGAUUCUUUAGCACUUACCAAGAGAUUUCUACUGGUAGGUGUUGUAUAUAUAAAACUCAAAAGAGAUAUUAUCUGAUAGGAAGCUAAGAAAGAGGAUUUGAAGCCCAAGAGAAAAUACUGGCUAAAGUUGUUGGAGUAGAUGAAGUCAGGAAAGGGAAAAGGGGUAAAUAUUUGCCAAUGUUUACUUUUUAAUGGACACAGGGCUAGGUAUUUGUGCAUGUAUCUACAACUUUCUGAGGUAGCUAUUAUGUUUCAUAAAUGAAGAAGUAAGCCCAGAAAAGUUAAACAACCAGUUCAAAGUUCACAAAGCUAAUAAAUGUUAAAGCUGGGAUUUGAACCAAAGUCUUUCAAGGCCUGAGCUCUUUUCAUUGCACAACACUGGAGUUCACUCAGGAGUGGAGGGGGCUAGCAAGGGAAUGUGAGAAAGAGGGAGAAAAGAAACAAGGACAGAAGAUAGAUUGUGGAGAUGGGUUUAGGAAAAAUUCAAAAAGGGAAAAGAGAUGGAAGAAAUACCAUUAGGGACUGAUAUACAGGGAGACAUAAUAAAAGACCAGAGAAAAACUGAUAACCAUUUCAAAUUCUGCAAAAAGA
rnacentral:lncRNA from 1 species